GCCGGAUGUGGUGUUGCACACCUGUAGUCCUAGUUACUUGGGAGGCUGAGACAGGAGGAUCUAUUGAGCCCAGGAGGUCAAGGCUGCAGUGAGCUGUGAUCAUGUCACUGCAUUCUAGCCUGGGCAACAGAAUGAGACCCUAUCUUAA
ensembl:misc_RNA Metazoa_SRP Metazoan signal recognition particle RNA